rnacentral:rRNA from 1 species
AUUGAACGCUGGCGGCAUGCCUUACACAUGCAAGUCGAACGGUAACGGGCCUUCGGGUGCCGACGAGUGGCGAACGGGUGAGUAAUACAUCGGAACGUGCCCGAUCGUGGGGGAUAACGAGGCGAAAGCUUUGCUAAUACCGCAUACGAUCUACGGAUGAAAGCAGGGGACCGCAAGGCCUUGCGCGGACGGAGCGGCCGAUGGCAGAUUAGGUAGUUGGUGGGAUAAAAGCUUACCAAGCCGACGAUCUGUAGCUGGUCUGAGAGGAUGAUCAGCCACAGUGGGGAUGAGAAACGGCGCUGACGCCUGCGGGAGACGGAGUGGGGGAGUUUGGGACGAGGGCAGCAAGGUUGAUCCUGCCAUGGCGCGGGAAGGAUGAGGGCUGUUGGUUUGUAGACUGUUUUUGACCGGACAGAAAAGCCAUCUUUUAAUACAGGAGGUGCAUGAGGGUGCCGGAAGAAUAGGCCCGGGAAAGAUGCGUC